rnacentral:rRNA from 1 species
UACGAAGGGGGCUAGCGUUGCUCGGAAUGACUGGGCGUAAAGGGCGCGUAGGCGGAGUGCUUUGUCAGGCGUGAAAUUCCAGGGCUUAACCUUGGGGCUGCGUUUGAGACGGGCAUUCUUGAGUAUGGAAGAGGGUCGUGGAAUUCCCAGUGUAGAGGUGAAAUUCGUAGAUAUUGGGAAGAACACCGGUGGCGAAGGCGGCGACCUGGUCCUUGACUGACGCUGAGGCGCGAAAGCGUGGGGAGCAAACAGG